rnacentral:misc_RNA from 1 species
GCAUGAAGCAAAAACAAAGUUUUUUCUUUUGCAUUUCAUCAUGUGCCAACACAUUUGGCCCAGUGGAAACACCUUGCUACUCUACUCGGUAACGAGUAGUCUAAGAGGGAAGAAGGAUCUGUCAUAAUGUCUUCAGCCUUUGACCACGCAUACACUCCUCGUUCUUGUCUGCUUCCAGGGACAGUGUUGUCUAAAACGAAUGCUACUAAUAGUGUGACCACCAUGUUUAAGGACAGAAGUGCAUUCAUUGCAAAAUUGAAUUGUGAAUUUCCGGUAUGUACUGGUCCAUUGGAUGCUGCUGCAUAAGGAAUUAGAUAGCCA